AGAGACAGAAAGAACUUCAGAGAAAGAGAGAGAAAGAAAUAGAGAGAUAGAAAAUAAGAUAGAAAGAAACAGGAAGCUAGCAUCGCGUCGUCUAGCGACCAGAUACUGUAUUACCUGGCCAAGCCGUGCAUGUGCAGUAUCUAAGAAACGCCCACCGACGCAGACAUCGCGCGCAACCUGCGCUUUACAGUGCA
rnacentral:lncRNA from 1 species